rnacentral:lncRNA from 1 species
GGGCCUGACCCCGAUGCUGCCAGGAGCCCCGUGGCCUGGGCCAGGCAUCCUCAGGGUGGCCGGGUGGUGACACAGCACGGGCACCGUGAAGGGGAUGCACGCUGCCUGAGGUGUCACAGGCUUGUUUUCACGUGGUAUGGCCAGCUCUGAACACCAUCCAAAAGCGCAUCCUCUGGCAGUACGUGCCGAUGCAGCUAUGAUCAAGUCAAGGUCACCCCCAGCCUGUCGCCGUGUCGCCUCGUCUCGAACCACAGGCUCCUGGGCUGCAGAGCAGGCACCCAAGGCUCAGGACAGCUUGAAUUACAUCGCUUGGGAAGUGCUGGGCACUACAACCUACCCUCCUCCUGCCGUGCUGCCGGACUUUUUCCAGCUCUGAGGAAGAGCAGAAGGCGGUGUCAUGAACAAGUAACAGGGAGUGUGUGUGGUUAUCGUUACUUACUGGUGGGAGAGUUGUGCCAGGGGUGCAUGCUGAGAAGAGGGCUCACCUGUGCGGGUGAGUAGAUGCCCCAAGGGGCUUCCAACAGCAGUGCAGCCAGGAGCCAAGGGAGGAGAGCACUGAAUCUGCCUGCGUCGUUCUGUAGGGAGGCUGUGGGGCUGAGAAAAGGCAACAGGCUCUCCUAGAAUACUACACUAUGCAAGAGGGGCAAAGGAGCCCCUCUUUUCCCCUGCAUCCUUGUUAAGGGAUUACAGAGAAGCCAUCAGCUCUUGGUGUUGCUAAUUGAGGUUGGAAAACUAUUCUGUUUUCCAUCAUGCACUAUCUGGAGCCUAACAGUGCUCCCAGAACUCAUAUUUUACUUUUUCUUUUCUCUCUCUUAAGCACAGCCUUGGAAACGUAUCAGGAGAAGACCACGAUUUAAUUUGCAGCAUUAGGAUAGACUCCUCCGGCAUUUCCCCAUCCUGGUCACACCCUCCUCCCAUGCUCAGACCUGCUCGAUGGGAUUUGCUGAGGAAGCAGGCUCUCCACGCCAGUGCAGUCGCACGGGGUCUGUUCCCUGUGUGGUCAAUUCUGAGAUUUCACAGCCUCUGUCAUGCAUGCUAAUAAAGUUCUCAGUAGUUGGCUUGGUCUAUCAACCACCACCACAAAAGACAGUUUGCUCUCCACAGCGGCAUUCAGUCCCCACCCUCCCACCGGACAGCCUUUUCGGACCCAUCUGGAAAUGACUGGCCAAAGCACAAUGUGACACAGACACUCACCCUGUGCCAGCAAGCUUUGUGCAGUGCCACAGGCUUGCAUUACUGUGACCCCUUGGUGUGUUCGUGUUGCCCAAGGAGCAAUGUCAGCUUCCUCCAGCCCGGGCUCUGCCAUGGUGGGAAGCUGCGGCAUGAAGCGCCAGGAGGAGGUAAAAAAGCAAGCCCUGAACCAUGAGCACUAGGCUACUUUGCCUGCUCCAAACUGUACGAAAAAAUGACAAGAGAUAUCAGAGAUAAAACCCUCACAGGGAGGAGAUAAAAUGUGUUUGCAUGUCAGCGAAAGCUCUCCAGCACCAAAUCACACCGCACACUUUGCAUAUCCACAUGAAAACACAUAAGGGAAGAAACUAACAGAAAUCUUUGGGUCACAGAGUUAAGUACUG